rnacentral:rRNA from 1 species
UACCCAAUCCUGACACAGGGAGGUAGUGACAAAAAAUAACAAUACUAAUUCUUUAAUGGAUCAGUAAUUGGGAUGAGUCUAAUUUAAAAACCUUAACGAGGAUCCACUGGAGGGCAAGUCUGGUGCCAGCAGCCGCGGUAAUUCCAGCUCCAAUAGCGUAUAUUUAAGUUGUUGCAGUUAAAAAGCUCGUAGUUGGAUUUCUGGCAAGGCAGAGCUAACCUGGCAUUAUAUGUCGUGUGUUGGAAUCUGUCUGCCAUCCUUCCAGAAGAGCACUAAACCAUUCAUUUGGCCUUGGUGUCGAUCUGGAACUUUUACUUUGAAAAAAUUAGAGUGUUCAAAGCAGGCGUUACGCCAUGAAUACAUUAGCGUGGAAUAAUAAUCUAGGACUUCAGUUCUAUUUUGUUGGUUUCUAGGACCGAAGUAAUGAUUGAUAGGGACAGUUGGGGGUGCUAGUAUUCAGCGGCCAGAGGUGAAAUUCUUGGAUUCGCUGAAGACUAACUUAUGCGAAAGCAUUCACCAAGGAUGUCUUCUUUAAUCAAGAACGAAAGUUGGGGGAUCGAAGACGAUCAGAUACCGUCGUAGUCUCAACCAUAAACUAUACCGACUAAGGAUGAGUGAGCGUCUAUUUCGACAUCAUUCGCACUUUAUGAGAAAUCAAAGUCUUUGGGUUCCGGGGGGAGUAUGGUCGCAAGGCUGAAACUUAAAGGAAUUGACGGAAGGGCACCACCAGGAGUGGAGCCUGCGGCUUAAUUUGACUCAACACGGGAAAACUUACCAGGUCCAGACAUAGUGAGGAUUGAC